rnacentral:rRNA from 1 species
GACGAACGCUGGCGGCGUGCUUAACACAUGCAAGUCGAACGAUGAAGCCGGAGCUUGCUCUGGUGAAUUAGUGGCGGACGGGUGAGUAACACGUGGGUAACCUGCCCAUAAGACUGGGAUAACUCCGGGAAACCGGGGCUAAUACCGGAUAAUAUUUUGAACUGCAUGGUUCAAAAUUGAAAGGCGGCUUCGGCUGUCACUUAUGGAUGGACCCGCGUCGCAUUAGCUAGUUGGUGAGGUAACGGCUCACCAAGGCAACGAUGCGUAGCCGACCUGAGAGGGUGAUCGGCCACACUGGGACUGAGACACGGCCCAGACUCCUACGGGAGGCAGCAGUAGGGAAUCUUCCGCAAUGGACGAAAGUCUGACGGAGCAACGCCGCGUGAGUGAUGAAGGCUUUCGGGUCGUAAAACUCUGUUGUUAGGGAAGAACAAGUGCUAGUUGAAUAAGCUGGCACCUUGACGGUACCUAACCAGAAAGCCACGGCUAACUACGUGCCAGCCGCCGCCGUAA